GAUGAACGCUGGCGGCGUGCCUAAUACAUGCAAGUAGAACGCUGAAGGAAGGAGCUUGCUCUUUCCGGAUGAGUUGCGAACGGGUGAGUAACGCGUAGGUAACCUGCCUGGUAGCGGGGGAUAACUAUUGGAAACGAUAGCUAAUACCGCAUAACAGUAGAUGUUGCAUGACAACUAUUUGAAAGGGGCAAUUGCUCCACUACCAGAUGGACCUGCGUUGUAUUAGCUAGUUGGUGAGGUAACGGCUCACCAAGGCGACGAUACAUAGCCGACCUGAGAGGGUGAUCGGCCACACUGGGACUGAGACACGGCCCAGACUCCUACGGGAGGCAGCAGUAGGGAAUCUUCGGCAAUAGACGGAAGUCUGACCGAGCAACGCCGCGUGAGUGAAGAAGGUUUUCGGAUCGUAAAGCUCUGUUGUAAGAGAAGAACGAGUGUGAGAGUGGAAAGUUCACACUGUGGCGGUAUCUUACCAGAAAGGGACGGCUAACUACGUG
rnacentral:rRNA from 1 species